AGAACGAACGCUGGCGGCAUGCCUAAUACAUGCAAGUCGAACGAGAUCUUCGGGUCUAGUGGCGCACGGGUGCGUAACGCGUGGGAAUCUACCCUUGGGUUCGGAAUAACAGUUGGAAACGACUGCUAAUACCGGAUGAUGACGAAAGUCCAAAGAUUUAUCGCCCAGGGAUGAGCCCGCGUAGGAUUAGCUAGUUGGUGAGGUAAAGGCUCACCAAGGCUACGAUCCUUAGCUGGUCUGAGAGGAUGAUCGAGCCACACUGGGACUGAGACACGGCCCAGACUCCUACGGGAG
rnacentral:rRNA from 1 species